rnacentral:rRNA from 1 species
UACGGAGGGGGCGAGCGUUGUCCGAAUUUACUGGGCGUAAAGCGCGCGUAGGCGGGAGUUUAAGUCCGCUGUGAAAGCCCGGGGCUCACCCCCGGAGGGUCGGUGGAUACUGGACUUCUUGAAGGUGCUAGGGGGAGAUGGAAUUACCGGUGUAGCGGUGAAAUGCGUAGAUAUCGGUAGGAACACCAGUGGCGAAGGCGGUCUCCUGGGGCACUCUUGACGCUGAGGCGCGAAAGCUGGGGGAGCGAACGGG